rnacentral:tRNA from 1 species
UCCCUGGUGGCUCAGACGGUAAAGCGUCUGCCUGCAAUGCGGGAGACCCGGGUUCGAUUCCUGGGUGGGGAA